rnacentral:misc_RNA from 1 species
AGGAUGGUUGAUCCGGGACAUUUUCAUUUUCAAUACAACGACUGUCUCAAGAUGCGGUAUGAAAGAAAACUGGGACCUCUAGAAACCAUGUACCAUGUUUAUUACAUUCGUGGUGUAGACAUCUAUGCCCAAAUGGCUACCCUGAUGUGCGAAAAAUUCGUCACCAAAGAGGAAGUGACAGAGGCGAUGGUUUGUUUGUUAAAAAGACAUCCAAUGUUGAGGAUGACAAUCAAAGAAACAGACAAGAAAUACCCCGAGUUUAAAUUCGUCGAAAUGAACCCUGUCAAACUUGACAUUCAAGUAUCUUCUUCUUGUGACAAAGAAACUCUAUUACACGACGAAUCGUGCAAAUCCUUUGCUGUAAAAGACGGUCCGUUAUGGAGACUGACGAUCGUGAGAAAUACGAAUGGAGAACCAAUUGGACCAAGAGCAAACGGCCACGAGUUUUCUUUCGUGUUCUGUUUCCAUCACAGUUUAGCUGAUGGAAUUUACCUUCGGACUCUCUUUGCCGAUUUCAUUGAAUUCUUGGACAUGGUUCAAAGAGAGACGAUAGACGCGAGUUCUGUGAAAGAAAUCGAGAUUCUUCCCGCCAUUGAGUACCUCCUUCCCUUAUUAAACCCAAAUCGCAGGGUAGUCUCUUUGGACUGUAACAGCGGAGAUCCUUCAAAAUUCAUCGAUGCUCUUCCAGCGUAUGAGGCACACUUCUAUGAUGAAAUCGAACAGUUACGGAACCAAAAACAAUCGACAAAGUCCAUUCGAUCCCAUUUACAGUCAACGAAGUCUAAGAAAUUCCUACUGCAAUGCAAGCAAAACAGUGUGACAGUUACGGGUGCCUGCAUUGCGGCGUCUUGCAUUGCGUUUGGACAGUUGAUCAAAUCGUCAAUAGCAGACGAUGUUAAAGUCUUAAUGAUUCCAGUGGAGAUUAUGGUAAAUAUGAGGCGUUAUACGCAGCAAAACAGCUUGUAUCAAGCCUACCCAGGGGUUGCUGCCGUACACCUUCCGUUAACAGUCAAACUUCCGCUCGUUGAGAACCCGCGGGAACAUUUCUGGUACCUUGCAAAACAGUGCACUGACGAUAUUAAUAACAAGAUCAUAUCCGGUUAUCCCCUGGAAUAUAUGUCCACCGAGGUAGCCCAAGAAAUUCACUCCACGCCCAACACGGGAAAAUCUCCCUACGUCCUGUGCAUAACCAAUAUGUCGACAGUUGAUGGCAUCGUGAAGCCAAACCAGAGGGCGCGGUUCCAGUUGAAGGAGUUUCCCGCCAUGACGCAAAUCGGAAUCGACGACAUGCCGAUUUUCUAUGUCGGGAUUUUAUCCAUGGCGCAGGAACUUCAUUUGGAUAUCGGACACUGUCAACGAUAUACGUCACAAUCUACGGCGGCCAAAUUCUCGUGGAAUGUGAUGUCCAUGUUACAGAAUUAUAGUAAUUUGUAAACAACGACAAUAUACAUGUACUAGUAAUUCAACUGCAUUACCUUGUGUGGAGAACAACUGAUCGUCAUUUACCAAUGCAUAUUACGUAUUGCCAUAGAGGUGAUUUUGUUCAGGCGUAUAUAUACUUAUUCGCAAUAUUUUUUCGAUUAUGAAAUUGCCAAAGACUUUUAAUUUGUACAUGAUACUGUGUGUAUUUUUAUAUUAAAGAUAUAUAAUCAU